GACGAACGCUGGCGGCGUGCUUAACACAUGCAAGUCGAACGGAAAGGCCCUGCUUUUGUGGGGUGCUCGAGUGGCGAACGGGUGAGUAACACGUGAGUAACCUGCCCUUGACUUUGGGAUAACUUCAGGAAACUGGGGCUAAUACCGGAUAGGAGCUCCUGCUGCAUGGUGGGGGUUGGAAAGUUUCGGCGGUUGGGGAUGGACUCGCGGCUCAUCAGCUUGUUGGUGGGGUAGUGGCUUACCAAGGCUUUGACGGGUAGCCGGCCUGAGAGGGUGACCGGCCACAUUGGGACUGAGAUACGGCCCAGACUCCUACGGGAGGCAGCAGUGGGGAAUAUUGCACAAUGGGCGGAAGCCUGAUGCAGCAACGCCGCGUGCGGGAUGACGGCCUUCGGGUUGUAAACCGCUUUCGCCUGUGACGAAGCGUGAGUGACGUAAUGUA
rnacentral:rRNA from 1 species